rnacentral:rRNA from 1 species
AUGCUUCUCCUAAAGACUAAGCCAUGCAUGUCUUCGAAUAGAAGAGCUUUCUCUCUGAAUCUGCGAACGGCUCCGCAAACCAGUUGUAAACUAUAGCAAGCAAGCACCCCGGGCUCGCUCACGCGGGUCGCAGGGGGGCUAAUAGGGAUAACCCUGGUAAUUCUGAGGCUAAUACAAGAACGUAAGACCUGACCGACUGGGAAACUGGGAGGUUGGGAGUCGCGUGAGGCAUCAUGCAAACUUACAACGGGAAUGGGUGCGCGACUCGACCACCAUACCAAACGGUUCUCGCAAACGGGUAGCUUUCCUUCGGGGGGGUUGCUGCAGUAGGCUUGAUCCGGGUGGCUCUUGCUGUGUGCUUCUGACCUAUCAACUAGAUGGCAGCGUAACGGACAUGCUAUGGUAACAACGGGUACAGAGGAUAAGGGUUCGAUCCUGGAGAGUGGGCCUGAGAGAUUGCUCACACUUCUAAGGAAGGCAGCAGGCGCGUAACGUUCCCAUUGGGCAAAGCCCGAGGGCGUUAGGGGACAUAUGAAUGCUUGCCAUAUGGUAGGCAAUUCAAAUGGGUUC